GGGGCUAGCGUUAUCCGGAUUUACUGGGCGUAAAGGGUGCGUAGGUGGUCCUUCAAGUCGGUGGUUAAAGGCUACGGCUCAACCGUAGUAAGCCGCCGAAACUGGAGGACUUGAGUGCAGGAGAGGAAAGUGGAAUUCCCAGUGUAGCGGUGAAAUGCGUAGAUAUUGGGAGGAACACCAGUAGCGAAGGCGGCUUUCUGGACUGCAACUGACACUGAGGCACGAAAGCGUGGGUAGCAAACAGGAUUAGAUACCCUGGUAGUCCACGCUGUAAACGAUGAGUACUAGGUGUCGGGGGUUACCCCCCUCGGUGCCGCGGCUAACGCAUUAAGUACUCCGCCUGGGGAGUACGCACGCAAGUGUGAAACUCAAAGGAAUUGACGGGGACCCGCACAAGUAGCGGAGCAUGUGGUUUAAUUCGAAGCAACGCGAAGAACCUUACCUAAGCUUGACAUCCCUCGGACAGGUGUUUAAUCACACCCUUCCUUCGGGACUGAGGUGACAGGUGGUGCAUGGUUGUCGUCAGCU
rnacentral:rRNA from 1 species